rnacentral:piRNA from 1 species
UGGGAGCCAUUACUUUUCAAACUGCCA